rnacentral:tRNA from 2 species
GGAGGAUUCGCCUAGUGGCCUAGGGCGCACGCUUGGAAAGCGUGUUGGGAGCAAUCCCUCAGGGGUUCAAAUCCCCUAUCCUCCG